rnacentral:rRNA from 1 species
ACAACUUUCAGCAAUGGAUCUCUCGGCUUUCGUAUCGAUGAAGAACGCAGCGAAUCGCGAUAUGUAGUGUGAUCUGCCUCUAGUGAAUCAUCAAAUCUUUGAACGCAUCUUGCACCCUUUGGUAUUCCAAAGGGUACGCCUGUUUCAGUAUCAUUA